AAUAGAUACCCGGGUAGUCCACGCCGUAAACGAUGAGUGCUAAGUGUUAGAGGGUUUCCGCCCUUUAGUGCUGAAGUUAACGCAUUAAGCACUCCGCCUGGGGAGUACGGCCGCAAGGCUGAAACUCAAAGGAAUUGACGGGGGCCCGCACAAGCGGUGGAGCAUGUGGUUUAAUUCGAAGCAACGCGAAGAACCUUACCAGGUCUUGACAUCCUCUGACAACCCUAGAGAUAGGGCUUCCCCUUCGGGGGCAGAGUGACAGGUGGUGCAUGGUUGUCGUCAGCUCGUGUCGUGAGAUGUUGGGUUAAGUCCCGCAACGAGCGCAACCCUUGAUCUUAGUUGCCAUCAUUCAGUUGGGCACUCUAAGGUGACUGCCGGUGACAAACCGGAGGAAGGUGGGGAUGACGUCAAAUCAUCAUGCCCCUUAUGACCUGGGCUACACACGUGCUACAAUGGACGGUACAAAGAGUCGCGAGACCGCGAGGUGGAGCUAAUCUCAUAAAACCGUUCUCAGUUCGGAUUGUAGG
rnacentral:rRNA from 1 species